rnacentral:miRNA from 13 species
UUGGUACAAAAGUAAUUGUGGUUUUGGCCAUU